rnacentral:lncRNA from 1 species
GUUCUUUUAACAGUUUGUACCAACAUUUUAACCUUUCAGGUAUUGACCCAGAUACAAAAUGAAAUCAUUUUAUAGGAGAAAUCAACUGAAGCAUAUCCUAACCAGUUCCAUCUUACAGAGAGGAAAUGCUGUCAGUGUAAACAUCCCAAAGGUACUGUGACUGGUGGAGGGGAUGUGACGUUCAGCGGGAAACUGUCGGUGCCCUGAAGUGAGGAGUUGAGUGAGAUGGACUUGCUGAGAGAAACGCCAGCACAGUGCCAAGGGCACAACCAAGCACUCAGCCGAGCCCACUAAGAAUGCAGGACAGGCUUCCCAGAAGAGAGAGCAUCUGUGUGGGGUCCAGCAGUCUGAGCAGGCAGCAGAGGGGCCAUCAAAUUUAGGAUAGCAAAGAAUCAAAGUGACCGAGAGAGCUCAAGAAGAAUCAUAGGGUGGGAAGGAACUUCGGUCAUCCAGAAUUUCCUCUGAUGAAGUGAGGCUACACUAGGGUAUUCUCCAGAAGCGGAGUCAUCAUGAGGGUAGAACAUAAACUUAUGAGAACCGUCUCCUACUCCACAG